rnacentral:rRNA from 1 species
CCUACGGGUUGCACCAGUGGGGAAUAUUGCACAAUGGGCGCAAGCCUGAUGCAGCCAUGCCGCGUGUAUGAAGAAGGCCUUCGGGUUGUAAAGUACUUUCAGCGGGGAGGAAGGUGUUGUGGUUAAUAACCACAGCAAUUGACGUUACCCGCAGAAGAAGCACCGGCUAACUCCGUGCCAGCAGCUGCGGUAAUACGGAGGGUGCAAGCGUUAAUCGGAAUUACUGGGCGUAAAGCGCACGCAGGCGGUCUGUCAAGUCGGAUGUGAAAUCCCCGGGCUCAACCUGGGAACUGCAUUCGAAACUGGCAGGCUGGAGUCUUGUAGAGGGGGGUAGAAUUCCAGGUGUAGCGGUGAAAUGCGUAGAGAUCUGGAGGAAUACCGGUGGCGAAGGCGGCCCCCUGGACAAAGAUUGACGCUCAUGCACGAAAGCGUGGGGAGCAAACAGGAUUAGAUACCCGGGUAGUC